rnacentral:rRNA from 1 species
AGCGAACGCUGGCGGCAGGCCUAACACAUGCAAGUCGAGCGCCCAGCAAUGGGAGCGGCAGACGGGUGAGUAACGCGUGGGGAUCUACCCAUUGGUACGGAAUAACCCAGUGAAACUUGGACUAAUACCGUAUGUGCCCUUCGGGGGAAAGAUUUAUCGCCAAUGGAUGAACCCGCGUCGGAUUAGCUAGUUGGUGAGGUAAAGGCUCACCAAGGCGACGAUCCGUAGCUGGUCUGAGAGGAUGAUCAGCCAAACUGGGACGGAGACACGGCCCAGACUCCUACGGGAGGCAGCAGUGGGGAAUAUGGGAAAAUGGGCGCAAGCCUGAGCCAGCCCGGCCGCGUGAGUGAUGAAGGCCUUAGGGUUGUAAAGCUCUUUCGCCGGUGAAGAUAAUGACGGUAACCGGAGAAGAAGCCCCGGCUGACUUCGUGCCAGCAGCCGCCGUAA